UUUCUCUCUUCUCCCUCAACCCUUAUUUUAUGCAACCACUCAGCCCUAAAAAGAAAGGGAUGAUGUAGUAGGCAUCAAAUUUGAAGGUGUACGUGGGAUGGAGCUGGGAUGAUGAUGAGUACUAGCAAAACUUAAUCCCCAUAACAUACUGGUUACCUUUUUUUUUUCUUGAAAAACUCCAAGCAGCAAGAGUGAUUAUUUGCAUUGUUCAGUUGCAUUUGCUUCCCCUUCAUGAUUAUUGUCUUCACUUCACCUUUUGUUUCCAUCUAUUUUUGGAUUUCUUUUUUAUUUUACUUUUUGUUUUCACUUCAAGUUAGCUAGCAUGUAUAAAUGUGAAAGGCUGAUACUUGUCUCUAGUUAUUUUCAUUCUACUGAAUAGUAAUGCAUGCCAAUAUCUCUUUCUUUGAGAAUUCUUUUUUCAGGCUUUCCCUUCUGUGCUGUCAACUGUACUUUUGAAUGAUGAAUUCAAUAUAUC
rnacentral:lncRNA from 1 species